rnacentral:rRNA from 1 species
UGAAAUAUACAUUUAUUUUUAGUGUGAUACUUAUAAAAAUUAAAAUUUUUAUAAAAUUAACUCAUAGUUUAGAAAAAAAAAUUAUAAAAUUUUAAAUAAAUAUAGUUUUAAUUAAUAUAUCAAUAACAAAAAUUUGUGCCAGCAGUUGCGGUUAUACAAUAAUUGAUUUAAGUAUAUAUUUUAUAAAAUAAUUUUAUAUAAAAAUUAUAAUAUAAAAAAUAUUAAGGUGAAAUUUAAAUUUUUUAAAAAUAUAUUUUUUAUUGAUUUUUAAUUAGCAACACCUAGGAUUAGAUACCC